CUGAACAAAAGGAAAAGUGAAACGAAGAAACUGUAAAAAAUGACGACUGGACACCAACCACUAAAAGCUGGUAAUUUUAAACUUUAAAGAGAUAGUUUAUACCCUCUAAGCGGGCAAUUUCUAAUCUCUUUAUUCAUGCCACUGUCUGGUGCUCCAAGGGAGACUACAGUUGGAAUUUUAUACCAGCUCUGUUAUCCCCAGCUGGGGAUGAAAUCCAUUGCGAAGGGGAUGAAGUGGAGGUGGCUGUACACACACACACACAAUUUGUUACAAACUGUUUAUCCAAUUGACAGGAAACUUAGCAUCAACAUUAUAGAGUAUACAUUAAUGAUAAUAUACAAGAUUGUGAAUGUCACACAGUUUUACAUACAUCUGGAUAAUCCCUCAUCAGACUGUGAUUAAACAUUUCAUUGCUAAUUCUUAUUCUAUCCUGUACAUACUGUUGAUAUGUCAUGUUCAUCGUUUAGAGUUUACGUGGCAGGAGAUGUAUAUGUAUACAUAAGCAUAGGCAAAUUGUAAGCAUGGCAAAUUCUUUGUUGAGAUUUAGUAAUGUCUUUCUCAAAGAGACCCAAGUGUAAAUGUUUGUCGUAAGCACCAUGGAUAAUAGCAUUUACAUAAUGUCCCGUGACAAGAAAUUACAUCUAAAAUACAAAUGUAUUUUUUUCAGAUUUGUAAAAAAAGACCUGCUUCUCCUGGUGUUGUAUCCUUGCUGGACGGAGAUGGUGAAGAUGCUGGAGGCAGCCAAGCCAGCACAGUAUGGGGUAGAUUUGACAAGGGACAAGAAAAGAAGGCCACCUCCCCUCCAGACAUUCCGAUCAGAGAAAAGAGACAAUUCGAAGCCAACCCAAAGAGACGUCCAAGACCUUGUCUGGGCUGCCUAUCUGUAAUAUCAGCUAAAAAGGAGGCUCCUGUAACACAUACAGCUGAUCCUGUCCUAAUGUGAAGGUGGAUCCAACAAGUGACGUCGUGAUCCUGCCAGUCGAAGUGCAGAAAAAUCACAGUCAAAUGCAUGUUGGCCUGAUAACCAAAUAUUGUUCUUUUUUUUUUUUUUUUUUUUUUUAAUCCUGCGCUAGUAAAUCAUGUAUCUGUGUCAGGAUAGCAUAUACAGCAUGCUCAUGCCUAAGUAAACAAACAUUUUAAGAACAUAAGAAAGUUUACAAACGAGAGGAGGCCAUUCGGCCCAUCUUGCUCUUUUGGUUGUUAGUAGCUUAUUGAUCCCAGAAUCUCAUCAAGCAGCUUCUUGAAGGAUCCCAGGGUGUCGGCUUCAACAACAUUACUGGGGAGCGGGUUCCAGACCCUCACAAUUCUCUGUGUAGAAAAGUGCCUCCUAUUUUCUGUUCUGAAUGCCCCUUUAUCUAAUCUCCAUUUGUGACUCCUGGUCCUUGUCGAAAAAGUCCCCUGGGUCGACAUUGUCAAUACCUUUUAGCAUUUUGAAUGCUUGAAUCAGAUCACCGCGUAGUCUUCUUUGUUCGAGACUGAAUAGAUUCAAUUCUUUUAGCCUGUCUGCAUACGACAUGCCUUUUAAACCCAGGAUAAUUCUGGUCGCUCUUCUUUGCACUCUUUCUUGAGCAGCAAUAUCCUUUUUGUAACGAGGUGACCAGAACUGAACACAAUAUUCUAGAUGAGGUCUUACUAAUGCAUUGUAAAGUUUUAACAUUACUUCCCUUGAUUUAAAUUCAACACUUAUCACAAUAUAUCCGAGCAUCUUGUUGGCCUUUUUUUAUAGCU